AACCUACGGGAGGCAGCAGUGAGGAAUAUUGGUCAAUGGCCGAGAGGCUGAACCAGCCAAGUCGCGUGAGGGAAGACGGCCCUACGGGUUGUAAACCUCUUUUGUCAGGGAGCUACGCCGGCUACGUGUAGCCGGACUGAGAGUACCUGAAGAAAAAGCAUCGGCUAACUCCGUGCCAGCAGCCGCGGUAAUACGGAGGAUGCGAGCGUUAUCCGGAUUUAUUGGGUUUAAAGGGUGCGUAGGCGGAAUGCCAAGUCAGCUGUAAAAUUGCGGGGCUCAACUU
rnacentral:rRNA from 1 species